UGGGCAACCAUGAGUACAGUGGCGUACGGGUGAGUAACACGUGGAUAAUCUACCUUCUAGUGGGGAAUAACCCUGGGAAACCGGGGCUAAUACCGCAUAAGCUCGAGAGAGGAAAGCAGCAAUGCGCUGGAAGAGGAGUCCGCGGCCGAUUAGCUAGUUGGCAGGGUAAAAGCCUACCAAGGCAAAGAUCGGUAGCCGGCCUGAGAGGGCACACGGCCACACUGGCACUGAAACACGGGCCAGACUCCUACGGGAGGCAGCAGUGGGGAAUCUUGCACAAUGGGGGAAACCCUGAUGCAGCGACGCCGCGUGAGCGAUGAAGCCCUUCGGGGUGUAAAGCUCUUUCGGCAGGGAAGAUGAUGACGGUACCUGCAGAAGCAGCUGCGGCUAACUACGUGCCAGCAGCCGCGGUAAUACGUAGGCAGCGAGCGUUGUUCGGAGUUACUGGGCGUAAAGGGUGUGUAGGCGGUUGUUUAAGUUUGGUGUGAAAUCUCCCGGCUCAACUGGGAGGGUGCGCCGAAUACUGAAUGACUCGAGUGCGGGAGAGGAGAGUGGAAUUCCUGGUGUAGCGGUGAAAUGCGUAGAUAUCAGGAGGAACACCGGUGGUGUAGACGGCUCUCUGGACCGUAACUGACGCUGAGACACGAAAGCGUGGGUAGCAAACAGGAUUAGAUACCCUGGUAGUCCACGCCCUAAACGAUGCAUAUUUGGUGUGGGCAGUUCAUUCUGUCCGUGCCGGAGCUAACGCGUUAAAUAUGCCGCCUGGGGAGUACAGUCGCAAGGCUGAAACUC
rnacentral:rRNA from 1 species